rnacentral:rRNA from 1 species
GACGGGACCGCACAAGCGGUGGAUGAUGUGGUUAAUUCGAUGCAACGCGAAAACCUUACCACCUUUGACAUGUACGGAAUCCUUUAGAGAUAGAGGAGUGCUCGAAAGAGAGCCGUAACACAGGUGCUGCAUGGCUGUCGUCAGCUCGUGUCGUGAGAUGUUGGGUUAAGUCCCGCAACGAGCGCAACCCUUGUCAUUAGUUGCUACAUUCAGUUGGGCACUCUAAUGAGACUGCCGGUGACAAACCGGAGGAAGGUGGGGAUGACGUCAAGUCCUCAUGGCCCUUAUAGGUGGGGCUACACACGUCAUACAAUGGAUGGUACAAAGGGUCGCCAACCCGCGAGGGGGAGCCAAUCCCAUAAAGCCAUUCGUAGUCCGGAUCGCAGUCUGCAACUCGACUGCGUGAAGUCGGAAUCGCUAGUAAUCGUGGAUCAGAAUGUCACGGUGAAUACGUUCCCGGGUCUU